CAGUCGCCGCGGGAACACGUAGGUGGCAAGCGUUGUCCGGAAUUAUUGGGCGUAAAGGGCUCGCAGGCGGUUUCUUAAGUCUGAUGUGAAAGCCCCCGGCUCAACCGGGGAGGGUCAUUGGAAACUGGGAAACUUGAGUGCAGAAGAGGAGAGUGGAAUUCCACGUGUAGCGGUGAAAUGCGUAGAGAUGUGGAGGAACACCAGUGGCGAAGGCGACUCUCUGGUCUGUAACUGACGCUGAGGAGCGAAAGCGUGGGGAGCGAACAGGAUUAGAUACCCCAGUAGUCCCUGUCUCUUAUAU
rnacentral:rRNA from 1 species